CACUCCGGCAGGAAGGUAAAUGGUGUUUCCGUGUGCUGCUCUGGUUUCAGUGUUCCGUUGUGCCAGAAGCGGCUUAGUCAUGCUGGCCACAUGACCCGGAAAAACUGUCUGCAGACAAACGCUGGUUCCCUUGGCCUGUAAAGUUAGAUGAGCGCUGCAACCCCAGAGUCGUCUGCAACUGGACUUAACUGUCAAGGGUCCUUUACCUUUACCUUGAGCCUUAAGUAAGCCAAUCUAUCCCAGCCUCAACGCCUCGUUUGCAGUAUGAGAAUUUUAUUUAUUUAUUUAUUUAUUUAUUUAUUUAUUGUUAUUAUUAUAUUUUUAUUUUGCUAAAUAUACAUAAUUCCUAGAUGAUUUACAUGAGAUGUUAAAACCAAUACCGUUACUCAUUUCCCUUCCAGCAGGAGCAAGCCAGCAGGAAAUCACACCGAGCAACUUGGAGUCAACUCUUUAUUAGCAAAAACAGGAUCUGCACAGGAGUGUCAGGCCUAAUGAGCACAGCAACUCAUCUCCGGUAGGUCUGGCCCCCUUGCUGAGAUUGAAGGUCCCUGCCUCCCCACAGCUGCCUAAGUCCCCU